rnacentral:rRNA from 1 species
CAGAGGCCCAAGCGUUACUGAGAAUCACUGGGUUUAAAGGGUGCGUAGGUGGUCCGUUAAGUCCGUUGUGAAAUCCCUGGGCUCAACCCAGGAAAUGCUUCGGAUACUGGCGGACUUGAGGCUAGUAGGGGUCACUGGAACUGACGGUGGAGCGGUGAAAUGCGUAGAUAUCGUCAGGAACGCCAAUGGUGAAGACAGGUGACUGGGCUAGUUCUGACACUGAGGCACGAAAGCGUGGGGAUCAAACGGGAUUAGAUACCCCGGUAGUCCACGCCCUAAACGAUGCAGACUAGACUGCAGCGGGUUACACCCCGUUGCGGUCGGAGCGAAAUUGUUAAGUCUGCCACCUGGGAAGUACGGUCGCAAGGCUA